rnacentral:rRNA from 1 species
AGUGAACGCUGGCGGCGUGCCUAAUACAUGCAAGUCGAACGGAGUGGCGCACGGGUGAGUAAUAUAUAGCUAAUCUGCCCCUUGCUGGAGGACAACAGUUAGAAAUGACUGCUAAUACUCCAUAGCAAGGGAGGAGACUAUAUCGUAUCAGCUAGUCGGUGGGGUGACGGCCUACCGAGGCUAUGACGCGUAACUGGUCUGAGAGGAUGAUCAGUCACAGUGGAACAUAGACACGGUCCAAACACUUACGGGAGGGGGCAGUAGGCAAUAGUGCGCAAUGGGGGAGACUCUGAAGCAGCAUCGGCGCGUGGAGGAUGACACUGUUCGGAGCGUAAACUCGUUUGGAUAGGUAAGCGGUACCUAACGAAUAAGCACCGGCUAACUCCGUGCCAGCAGCCGCGGUAAUUC